UACGGGGGGGGCAAGCGUUGUUCGGAAUUACUGGGCGUAAAGGGCUCGUAGGCGGCCAACUAAGUCAGACGUGAAAUCCCUCGGCUUAACCGGGGAACUGCGUCUGAUACUGGAUGGCUUGAGUGUGGGAGAGGGAUGCGGAAUUCCAGGUGUAGCGGUGAAAUGCGUAGAUAUCUGGAGGAACACCGGUGGCGAAGGCGGCAUCCUGGACCACGACUGACGCUGAGGCGCGAAAGCUAGGGGAGCAAACGGG
rnacentral:rRNA from 1 species